GCUGCGGUGAAAGCGGAGAGCUGUGGGGAGUUUCUAUGGGUGGUUUUUGCCCCUCUUUGUCUUUCUUCGCCGCCGAUGAUCACUCAAAUGAAAAAAAUAAAUUCCGAUUGCAAAACUAGCCUUUCGGUGAAAAUAAGUGUUACUCCGUUCACUUUUACUUUUGGGCAAUGAGGCUAUGAAGAUUAUUGUCUUCUGCGGAAGAUGAAACAGACAUAUUGCUAUUGAGCUCGAAAAAACUGUAACUUGGCGUGGCAGCUCAGAUGGGUCUGUGAGAUAUUGGAGAAAGUUCCCUUUCAGGGUGUUUUUACCUCUCAUAAGGCUAACUGAUGCUUGCAGCCAUGACGGUUUUUUCAAAGCUUUUUGGUUUUUGUCUGAGAAAAGGCGAAUCUGAGCCUACCCCAUUACUUUGAUUUUUGUUUUUGGUUUUCCCUAUGCUCCUUGAUUAUGUAGGCGAAAAUCUAAGCUCAUCCCUCGAUUUAACUUUUAGUUCCAUUUCUGAGACUGUAACUCGGAGAUGCUUUGUGGGAAUAAUUCUUAGCUUGAAGAUGGUUGAUUUUUCCAUAAUGUUAGUGGAAUAAUUUCUCCAAAAUUUAUGAGUUUUAGUAAUUGAAUGAGAAACGGCGAUGAUAGCAAAAAUCAUUGAUGGCCAAAGAUCAAAUAAGAAUGCCAAACUACCACAGAUCUUCUAUUUGUUGUGAAUUAAUCUCUUGACUAGUAUGGUAACUCAACCUUAACAGCACUGUAUUUUUAUUUGCGCCGAUUGAAACAAACUGAGUCUGAGUGUUGUCCGAUGUGGCAUUGCUAAAAAGAAGUCUUGUUAGUUACAAAUCAUGUCAAGAUCCCUUGCUGCAAGGUACUCUUGCAUUUUUGCAGACAAAAACUUGCAGGUGAUGGGUUUUUGUUCCCAUUAAGAUGAAGUACUAGUUUGAAGUGGGGCUAGAUUCUGAUGUGUAAGAAAUAUUGUAAAGAAACUACACUUAUGUUGAUGAAAACUCCAGGAACUGCGUUUGUCUUUAAGUUCCAAAUUUCCGUGAAAUCACUGUAGAUUCUAGCUACAGCAGGAACGAAAUGGAGAGAGGAGGAUUGGAAAUCAAUAAUGUUUGAUUGGGAUGAUCUAAUGUUCUUGAAAGAGCUAUUUUGCUUGGUCACAGCUAUGGACCUUGUUGAUAUGAGUCAAUAGCAUCUGCCCCAUAUCUUAGAUAUUUCUGAUAAGCAGGAUAAGUUGAUCCAGAUAUUCUCCAUUAGCUCCUUUAAGUAAUAACCACCACUACAACGACAACAUACUCAGUGCGAUCCAUAAGUGGGGUUUGGGAAGGGUGGAAUGUAGGCAACCCUAAGUAAUAAUACCUUGUUGAUAUGAGUCAAUAGCAUCUGCCCCAUAUCUUAGAUAUUUCUGAUAAGCAGGAUAAGUUGAUCCAGAUAUUCUCCAUUAGCUCCUUUAAGUAAUAACCACCACUACAACGACAACAUACUCAGUGCGAUCCAUAAGUGGGGUUUGGGAAGGGUGGAAUGUAGGCAACCCUAAGUAAUAAUGCCAAUUGAAGGUCUGUUAUUAAUGCAGAGAUGAAAGGAUAUCCCUUUAAUUAAUGCCUUUCUAGAGCUUUUGGCUAAAAUCAAGUAUCCAAGAACCACAAAUAGUAGUCUCUAGCAGGGUAAAUGGAGAUCCAGCCAAGCAUAGCUGCUCUAGUGAGUUAUGAGCUAUUGCGCUUGCAAUAAUUAUAUGUAAAAACUUCCAUUUACUUUUUAUUUGUAAUUCUAGGCAUUGAACAGGUAAAUGAAACCCUAUGUGUGUUCCUUUUUCUCUUUAAUGUGGACCUGUUUGCGAGUGUGCAUUACGAAAUUUGUCGAUAUCAGAAGGUGUACAUCUUUAUAAAACUGCCACCAACCACAACCAAAUAAAAAAUUCUCUGUUUUUUUAUUCUGGGGAUGUAAAUGCUAAGGUCUAUUUUUGAGUUACGUUAUUGCUAAAGAUGUACUUCUUAACACCUUAGGCUAUUUUUCUCCCCUUUUUUUUUGUUUUUUAAAACUCUCUGUAAUGAAUGACAAUGCUCUGCCUCUUUGAUAUGAGUGUGCCUAAAAGUGUUCGCUUUUUUACUUGAAUUUUAGGAAUGUGAGUGCUAACAUCUAUUUUUGAGUUUCCUUGUUGAUAAAUAUGCUCUUUUGAUUGAUACUUAAUCCUAUUCUCCACUCUCUUUUGAACUCUGUAAUGAAUGGGAAUGCUCUUGCUCUGAGAUUGGUGUGACUUAAUGUGUUUUUCUUUAUCUAGAAUCGUAGGCAUCAUUAUUAAAAGUGUACUUUCUGAUACUUUAGCCUUUAUUUUCUGUGUUUGAACUCUGUAUAAAGAAUCACAAUGCUGAUUCCUUGAUGUGGGUGUGCCUAAAUGUGUUUUCUUUUGUCUAGAAACUUAGGCAUGUGAAUACUGACGUCUAUAUUAAGAUACUUUGUUGCUGAGAUGUUUUAUUGGAGUAAUCCUUAUUGGUAAAGCGCAUAAUUUCAGUCAUGUUACCUGUAUUUUGAACUGUAAUUUGAUACUCAACUUUGAAAUAAUAUAAAACCACUCGAUCAACUUAUGCAGGUGCUAUCUCCGCACUUCAUGUUGUCAGAAUACAAGCCAAAAGCUAAGACAGGCGAUGCAUUUACAAGUGAGUAAGCUCAUUUUAUAAAUUAUGCAAAUUUUGUAGUUGUUGCCUGCUUUAUGAAUACCCACUAAUCUUUGAGAUCGAUUCCAUGCUAAUUUGUUUUUUGAGUCCUUGUUUCUAUUGGUAUUUUGCCGCAUUUUGUGAUUGACGUAAACAAGAUGUCAUACUUCUUGCUCUUCU
rnacentral:lncRNA from 1 species